rnacentral:misc_RNA from 1 species
AACGCACAUUGCGCCCGCCAGCACUCUGGCGGGCAUGCCUGUCCGAGCGUCAUUUCACCCCUCAAGUCCACCCCAGGGUGCUUGGUGUUGGGGGCCGGCCGGGAAAGCCCGCGCCGCCCCCGAAAUGCAGUGGCGACCCCGCCGCAGCCUCCCCUGCGCAGUAGCACACCUCGCACCGGAGCGCGGAGGCGGUCACGCCGUAAAACGCCCCAACUCUCACGAGUUGACCUCGGAUCAGGUAGGAGUACCCGCUGAACUUAA